CCUUUGUACACACCGCCCGUCGCUCCUACCGAUUGAAUGGCUCAGUGAGGCUUCCGGACUGGCCCAGAGAGGUCGGCAACGACCACUCAGGGCCGGAAAGCUAUCCAAACUCGGUCAUUUAGAGG
rnacentral:rRNA from 1 species